UUGACCUCGAAUCAGGUAGGGAUACCCGCUGAACUUAAGCAUAUCAAUAAGCGGAGGAAAAUAAACCAACCGGGAUUACCC
rnacentral:rRNA from 1 species